AGGAAUAUUGGUCAAUGGGCGCAAGCCUGAACCAGCCAUCCCGCGUGCAGGAAGACGGCCCUAUGGGUUGUAAACUGCUUUUCCAGGGGGAGAAUUUUUCUGUCGUGACAGGAAUUGACGGUACCCUGGGAAUAAGCAUCGGCUAACUCCGUGCCAGCAGCCGCGGUAAUACGGAGGAUGCGAGCGUUAUCCGGAUUGAUUGGGCUUAAAGGGUGCGUAGGCGGAUUGAUAAGUCAGUGGUGAAAACCUGCAGCUUAACUGUAGACUUGCCGUUGAUACUGUCAGUCUUGAGUGUGGUCAAGGUAGGCGGAAUGUGUAAUGUAGCGGUGAAAUGCUUAGAUAUUACACAGAACACCGAUUGCGAAGGCAGCUUACUGGGCCAUUACUGACGCUGAUGCACGAAAG
rnacentral:rRNA from 1 species